rnacentral:rRNA from 1 species
UCGACGGUGAGGGGUGAAAGCUGGGGGAGCAAACCGGAUUAGAUACCCGGGUAGUCCCAGCUGUAAACUAUGCAAACUCAGUGAUGCAUUGGCUUGUGGCCAAUGCAGUGCUGCAGGGAAGCCGUUAAGUUUGCCGCCUGGGAAGUACGUACGCAAGUAUGAAACUUAAAGGAAUUGGCGGGGGAGCACCACAAGGGGUGAAGCCUGCGGUUCAAUUGGAGUCAACGCCAGAAAUCUUACCCGGAGAGACAGCAGAAUGAAGGUCAAGCUGAAGACUUUACCAGACAAGCUGAGAGGUGGUGCAUGGCCGUCGCCAGCUCGUGCCGUGAGAUGUCCUGUUAAGUCAGGUAACGAGCGAGAUCCCUGCCUCUAGUUGCCACCAUUACUCUCAGGAGUAGUGGGGCGAAUUAGCGGGACCGCCGCAGUUAAUGCGGAGGAAGGAAGGGGCCACGGCAGGUCAGUAUGCCCCGAAACUCUGGGGCCACACGCGGGCUGCAAUGGUAGCGACAAUUGGUUUCGAAUCCGAAAGGAUGAGGUAAUCCACAAACGCUACCACAGUUAUGACUGAGGGCUGCAACUCGCCCUCACGAAUAUGGAAUCCCUAGUAACUGCGUGUCAUUAUCGCGCGGUGAAUACGUCCCUGCUCCUUGCACACACCGCCCCU